rnacentral:rRNA from 1 species
UUUAAUAAUUUAAGAAAUUAAGAAUUAGAAAUAUAUUUUAAUAUUAACAAAUUUUGUGCCAGCAGUUGCGGUUAUACAAAAAAUAUAAAUAAAUUUUAUUGGUAAAUAAUUAUAAUGAUUAUUUAAUAUAAAUUAAGAUUAUAUAUAUUAGGUGAAAUUUUAUUUAUUAAAUUAGUUUAUAAUAAAGAUUUAAUUAUUAUGAAAUUUAUAUUUAAACUAGGAUUAGAUACCCUAUUAUUUUAAAUGUAAAUUAAUUUUACUAAAGUAGUAUUAGUUAUGUUCUUGAAAUUUAAAGAUUUUGGCGGUAUUUUAGUCUAUUUAGAGGAACCUGUUCUGUAAUUGAUAGUCCACGAUUUACUUUACUUAUUUUAAAAAUUUGUAUACCGUCGUUAUAAGAAAAUUUUAUUAGAAUUUAAAUUUUUAAUAUUUUAAAUAAAAAAAUAUAUCAGAUCAAGGUGCAGUUUAUAUUUAAGAAGAAAUGGGUUACAAUAAAUUUAUUUAUAUGGAUUAAAAUUAGAAUUUAAUUUUAUAAAGGUGGAUUUAAAAGUAAUAAAAUUUAAAUAAAUUUUAUGAUUUUAGCUCUAAAAUAUGUACAUAUCGCCCGUCACUCUUAUUUUUAAGAUAAGAUAAGUCGUAACAUAGUAGAUGUACUGGAAAGUGUAUCUAGAAUGUCA